GGGUCAGCGACUUAUAUUCUGUAGCAAGGUUAACCGUAUAGGGGAGCCGUAGGGAAACCGAGUCUUAACCGGGCGUUAAGUUGCAGGGUAUAGACCCGAAACCCGGUGAUCUAGCCAUGGGCAGGUUGAAGGUUGGGUAACACUAACUGGAGGACCGAACCGACUAAUGUUGAAAAAUUAGCGGAUGACCUGUGGCUGGGGGUGAAAGGCCAAUCAAACCGGGAGAUAGCUGGUUCUCCCCGAAAGCUAUUUAGGUAGCGCCUCGUGAACUCAUCUCCGGGGGUAGAGCACUGUUUCGGCUAGGGGGCCAUCCCGGCUUACCAACCCGAUGCAAACUGCGAAUACCGGAGAAUGUUAUCACGGGAGACACACGGCGGGUGCUAACGUCCGUCGUGAAGAGGGAAACAACCCAGACCGCCAGCUAAGGUCCCAAAGUCAUGGUUAAGUGGGAAACGAUGUGGGAAGGCCCAGACAGCCAGGAUGUUGGCUUAGAAGCAGCCAUCAUUUAAAGAAAGCGUAAUAGCUCACUGGUCGAGUCGGCCUGCGCGGAAGAUGUAACGGGGCUAAACCAUGCACCGAAGCUGCGGCAGCGACGCUCAGGCGUUGUUGGGUAGGGGAGCGUUCUGUAAGCCUGUGAAGGUGGCCUGUGAGGGUUGCUGGAGGUAUCAGAAGUGCGAAUGCUGACAUAAGUAACGAUAAAGCGGGUGAAAAGCCCGCUCGCCGGAAGACCAAGGGUUCCUGUCCAACGUUAAUCGGGGCAGGGUGAGUCGACCCCUAAGGCGAGGCCGAAAGGCGUAGUCGAUGGGAAACGGGUUAAUAUUCCCGUACUUGGUGUUACUGCGAAGGGGGGACGGAGAAGGCUAUGUUGGCCGGGCGACGGUUGUCCCGGUUUAAGCGUGUAGGUGUGUGUUCCAGGUAAAUCCGGUUCACUUUAACACUGAGGCGUGACGACGAGGCACUACGGUGCUGAAGCAACAAAUGCCCUGCUUCCAGGAAAAGCCUCUAAGCAUCAGGUAACAUCAAAUCGUACCCCAAACCGACACAGGUGGUCAGGUAGAGAAUACCAAGGCGCUUGAGAGAACUCGGGUGAAGGAACUAGGCAAAAUGGUGCCGUAACUUCGGGAGAAGGCACGCUGACACGUAGGUGAAGUGAUUUACUCAUGGAGCUGAAGUCAGUCGAAGAUACCAGCUGGCUGCAACUGUUUAUUAAAAACACAGCACUGUGCAAACACGAAAGUGGACGUAUACGGUGUGACGCCUGCCCGGUGCCGGAAGGUUAAUUGAUGGGGUCAGCGCAAGCGAAGCUCCUGAUCGAAGCCCCGGUAAACGGCGGCCGUAACUAUAACGGUCCUAAGGUAGCGAAAUUCCUUGUCGGGUAAGUUCCGACCUGCACGAAUGGCGUAAUGAUGGCCAGGCUGUCUCCACCCGAGACUCAGUGAAAUUGAACUCGCUGUGAAGAUGCAGUGUACCCGCGGCAAGACGGAAAGACCCCGUGAACCUUUACUAUAGCUUGACACUGAACAUUGAGCCUUGAUGUGUAG
rnacentral:rRNA from 1 species